UGGAUCUUCUCUAACUGCUACUCUUACAUAGCUUUCCAGUCAAGGAUGGUAAGGACCUCUGCGAGGGGAAGCCAGCAACCAUGUCUGCACUGAGAGCCUGCUCUUGGUGUCCCAGCUUGGGAGAUCUCCCUGAUGGGGGCCCUGGCCCCUUGCCUGGGAUGACUACCUUCAUUCCUCUGAUCAUAGCUGCCUGGCAUGCUCUCCUGCUUUUCAAGAUUAUUUUGCCUGCAAGGCGUCUCUCUAUAUUUACAUCACAUAGCAAUUUGUUCUGUCUUGUCUUGCUUCUCACCUUCUUAGGCACAGGAGGAAAGCAACUUAUUUCCUUGCUUCUUCUGACAAACACAUGCUCUCCAGAGCAGACAGAUGCCUUAAAAUCAGAUAUAGGGCAUCAGUUCAUCUUUUGGGUUCAGCUGUAGCAUAUAAAGCAUUUGCUGGCUCUGGUCUAAUGCUUUUUGACGUUGUCAGACCCUCUUCAGUUAACUUCUGCCUUGAAACCAACUUGACAGCAAGUAUUGUUCCACAUUUAUUAAUACUGUACAUGUCAUCUUCAGACUGACAUGUUUCAAAGCCAGGCAUCAGCUGUGUUCAGCUCUGGCUUGAAAAAAAAUAUGCAGACAACAGCACAGACCUCCUGCUACUAACAAGUAAAUAGAUAAAUAAUGUGAUCACAGUGCAGCCCCAAAGCCUGGGAUUCUUUUCCAUGCCCACAGUGCUGCAGUUUGGUGCACCAGCGAAUGACACUGUAAAGCUCCUGGGUCUAAGCACUCUCCUUUGCGUGUUUACCUUCAUCCUCUGCAGGAGAUUAAUGUGGUUUGUCAGUCUGAAAAACAUGUUUAUAACACCAGAAACCACUAUAACCUUGGCAGUCUGCACUGGAAUUAAACGUCAUAAAAUUCAGACAUCCAAAUUUGUCUGCUUUGGUUUUACAUGACAAGUUCUUUCACAGUAGUUCUCCUGUGCCUCCGGUGCCAUUGGCACAGUGCAGCAGUCAAGAGGUGAUACCUGAAGUACUGUUAUUAUUUAUGUCACAGGUCUUCCUAAAACAGAAUAAAAUACUACUCUGAGUGGCUGAAAUGAACAUAAUAUGUAAUCGCAGCAAGCUUUUUUCCUACUGUCAGAUGCAAGGCUGCUGAUCCUGAUUUCACCAAGAUUUGUACUUCCUGCUUCACAUUCUAUACAUUCAUUCACUGAGGUCCCUUCCAGAGCUGUUGGGUGCUCGAGCACCAUUAAUGUUUUCAGAAUUUUCUGUUCCUAGUUGAAGGGAGAAGGUGCCUGACAUUCUCAUGACAGAGUUCAAAGCAGAAUCCAAGAAUGGAUGAGGUUGGCAGGGACCUCUGGGUCCAUCUGCUCCAACCCCUAUUCCAGCAGAGACAUCCACAGAUGGGUGCCCAGGCCCACGUCCAGGCAGGUUUUGAAGAUUUCCAAGGAGGAGACUCUACGAUGUGUGCCAGAGCUCGUCACCCACACUGCACAGAAGUGCUGCCUAGCAUUCAGAGGAAACCUCCUGUGUUCUGGUUUGUGACCACCAACUCUUGUCUUGGCACUAGGCACCACUGAAAACAGCCUGGAUCCAUCUUUUUCACACCCUCCCUUCAGGUAUUUAUAUUGAUUGAUAGGUUGCCCAGAGAGGUUGUUAUUCCCCCUCCCAGGAAGCAUGUAAGGCCG
ensembl:lncRNA